CGUCCGAGUUGUAAUUUAGAGAAGUGUUAUCCGCGCUGGACCGUGUACAAGUCUCCUGGAAUGGAGCGUCAUAGAGGGUGAGAAUCCCGUCUUUGACACGGACUGCCAGGGCAUUGUGAUGCGCUCUCAAAGAGUCGAGUUGUUUGGGAAUGCAGCUCAAAAUGGGUGGUAAAUUCCAUCUAAAGCUAAAUAUUGAGGAGAGACCGAUAGCGAACAAGUACCGUGAGGGAAAGAUGAAAAGAACUUUGGAAAGAGAGUUAAACAGUACGUGAAAUUGCUGAAAGGGAAACGCUUGAAGUCAGUCGCGUUGUUCAGGACUCAGCCUUGCUUUGCUUGGUGUACUUCCUGUUCGACGGGUCAGCAUCAAUUUUGGUCGGUGGAUAAAGGCUUAGAGAAUGUGGCAUCUUCGGGUGUGUUAUAGCUCUGGGUCGCAUACAUCGGCUGGGAUUGAGGAACUCAGCACGCCGCAAGGCCGGGUACUUGUACCACGUACGUGCUUAGGAUGCUGGCAUAAUGGCUUUAAUCGACCCGUC
rnacentral:rRNA from 1 species